GUCUGGGAAACUGCCUGAUGGAGGGGGAUAACUACUGGAAACGGUAGCUAAUACCGCAUAACGUCGCAAGACCAAAGUGGGGGACCUUCGGGCCUCAUGCCAUCAGAUGUGCCCAGAUGGGAUUAGCUAGUAGGUGGGGUAACGGCUCACCUAGGCGACGAUCCCUAGCUGGUCUGAGAGGAUGACCAGCCACACUGGAACUGAGACACGGUCCAGACUCCUACGGGAGGCAGCAGUGGGGAAUAUUGCACAAUGGGCGCAAGCCUGAUGCAGCCAUGCCGCGUGUGUGAAGAAGGCCUUCGGGUUGUAAAGCACUUUCAGCGGGGAGGAAGGCGUUGAGGUUAAUAACCUUGUCGAUUGACGUUACCCGCAGAAGAAGCACCGGCUAACUCCGUGCCAGCAGCCGCGGUAAUACGGAGGGUGCAAGCGUUAAUCGGAAUUACUGGGCGUAAAGCGCACGCAAGCGGUCUGUCAAGUCGGAUGUGAAAUCCCCGGGCUCAACCUGGGAACUGCAUUCGAAACUGGCACGCUAGAAUCUUGUAGAGGGGGGUAGAAUUGCAGG
rnacentral:rRNA from 1 species